UGGGGAAUAUUGGACAAUGGGCGAAAGCCUGAUCCAGCCAUGCCGCGUGUGUGAAGAAGGCCUUUUGGUUGUAAAGCACUUUAAGCGAGGAGGAGGCUACCGAGAUUAAUACUCUUGGAUAGUGGACGUUACUCGCAGAAUAAGCACCGGCUAACUCUGUGCCAGCAGCCGCGGUAAUACAGAGGGUGCGAGCGUUAAUCGGAUUUACUGGGCGUAAAGCGUGCGUAGGCGGCUUUUUAAGUCGGAUGUGAAAUCCCUGAGCUUAACUUAGGAAUUGCAUUCGAUACUGGGAAGCUAGAGUAUGGGAGAGGAUGGUAGAAUUCCAGGUGUAGCAGUGAAAUGCGUAGAGAUCUGGAGGAAUACCGAUGGCGAAGGCAGCCAUCUGGCCUAAUACUGACGCUGAGGUACGAAAGCAUGGGGAGCAAACAGG
rnacentral:rRNA from 1 species